rnacentral:rRNA from 1 species
CACGUAGGCGGUCUUUUAAGUCAGAUGUGAAAGCCCGGGGCUCAACCCCGGAAGUGCAUUUGAUACUAGGAGACUUGAGUAUGGGAGAGGGAAGUGGAAUUCCUGGUGUAGCGGUGAAAUGCGUAGAUAUCAGGAGGAACACCGGUGGCGAAGGCGACUUCCUGGACCAAUACUGACGCUGAGGUGCGAAGGCGUGGGGAGCAAACA